rnacentral:rRNA from 1 species
GAUUAUGGCUCAGGAUGAACGCUGGCGGCGUGCCUAACACAUGCAAGUCGAGCGUGAACCCUUAGAAUGAAACUUCGGUCGAAUGAAGAGGGGGAAGGCGGCGGACGGGUGAGUAACGCGUAGGCAACCUGCCCCGUACAGAGGGAUAGCCUCGGGAAACCGGGAUUAAAACCUCAUAAUACCAUGGUAUCACAUGAUGCAAUGGUCAAAGAUUUAUCGGUAUGGGAUGGGCCUGCGUCUGAUUAGCUGGUUGGUGGGGUAACGGCCUACCAAGGCAACGAUCAGUAGCCGACCUGAGAGGGUAAUCGGCCACAUUGGAACUGAGACACGGUCCAAACUCCUACGGGAGGCAGCAGUGGGGAAUAUUGCACAAUGGGCGAAAGCCUGAAUGCAGCAACGCCGCGUGAGCGAAGAAGGCCUUUGGGUCGUAAAGCUCUGUCGGGAAGGAAGAUAAUGACGGUACUUCCCGAGGAAGCCCCGGCUAACUACGUGCCAGCAGCCGC